rnacentral:misc_RNA from 1 species
UCUGCCUAUCCCUCUGAAGAGCAUGCUCACACUGCAUGGGUGACGAGAAAACAGCAAAGGCUUCACCAGAGAAACGCCCAUUCUUAUUCACCAGCAAACAGUCAACGACAUCGAGCCCAGAAAAGAACUUGUAGACAUCAAGAUCAUCGCAAUUGAAAGGCAGGCCCCUGAGACGAACCACUGGAAAGCUGCUGAUGCUGCUGGCCCCACCACCAUAACCACUAGCCCCGCCACUGUACCCGCCAAAAGGCUGAUAGAAGCUGCUGCCGCCGACGGCUCCAGAGAGAUAGGGGUUUGGCUCCAUCAUCCUCGGACGCUUCAAGCCAGCAUUGUAUCCUUCUGACAUUCCCCCACCGCUCACUGCGAAGUAGGGAUUUG